GGGGCUCAGUGGUAGAGCGCGUGCUUAGCAUGCACAAGGUCCUGGGUUCAAUUCUCAGGGCCCA
rnacentral:tRNA from 1 species